AUAAAAUAUUAUUUUGGCAGAUUAGUGCAAUGAAUUUAGAAUUCAUGUAUGUAAUUUUAUUACAGAUAAUAC
rnacentral:tRNA from 1 species